rnacentral:rRNA from 1 species
AACGUAGGACGCAAGCGUUAUCCGGAGUUACUGGGCGUAAAGGGCGUGUAGGCGGCUUUUCAAGUUCGUCGUGAAAGACCCCGGCUAAACCGGGGGAGGUCGAGGGAGACUGAGAAGCUGGAGGGCGGCAGAGGGACAGGGAAUUCCGGGUGUAGUGGUGAAAUGCGUAGAGAUCCGGAGGAACACCAGUGGCGAAGGCGCUGUCCUGGGCCGCAACUGACGCUGAGGCGCGAAAGCUAGGGGAGCAAACAGG